GACGAACGCUGGCGGCGUGCUUAACACAUGCAAGUCGAACGGAAAGGCCCUGCUUUUGUGGGGUGCUCGAGUGGCGAACGGGUGAGUAACACGUGAGUAACCUGCCCUUGACUUUGGGAUAACUUCAGGAAACUGGGGCUAAUACCGGAUAGGAGCUCCUGCUGCAUGGUGGGGGUUGGAAAGUUUCGGCGGGUGGGGAUGGACUGGCGGCUUAUCAGCUUGUUGGUGGGGUAGUGGCUUACGAAGGCUUUGACGGGUAGCCGGCCUGAGAGGGUGACCGGCCACAUUGGGACUGAGAUACGGCCCAGACUCCUACGGGAGGCAGCAGUGGGGAAUAUUGCACAAUGGGCGGAAGCCUGAUGCAGCAACGCCGCGUGCGGGAUGACGGCCUUCGGGUUGUAAACCGCUUUCGCCUGUGACGAAGCGUGAGUGACGGUAAUGGGUAAAGAAGCACCGGCUAACUACGUG
rnacentral:rRNA from 1 species